AAAGGAUUUUGUAUUUUUUUCCUAUUAAUUAAGAAUAUAUAUAUAUAUAUAUAUAUCAUAGAAGCUACUGAAAGGAGAUCUGACUGCCAGAAAAUUUCUAUCAGGCCUUAGACAUAGUAUGUAACAGGAAUCAAUAUAACCCAAACAGUAUUCUUGUUACUAGCCAUUUCUCAUUCCUUAGGCUUUGCAAAAAUGAAUCAUCUUUCAAUUUCUUGUAAUAUUUAGAUAUAAAGGAUCUGUCUGAGUUAUUAUAUACUUACCCCUGAAUUGUAAGGAGGAUCAAUCAGACUGAGAUUAGGGAGAGAUGCCUGAAGGGCAUUUACAUACACAGGCUGAGAAUGAACGGAGGAUAUGAAAGCUUCUUGCUUAUACUUCUCAAUCUUCUUAAUUAGGUCUAUCCUGUGAAUAUUUCGGAAACAGUUUUCUAUCAAAUCCAGUUGAUUUGGAGCCACCAAAUUCAGCUUUUCCAGUUCAAUAAUUAGACGUAGAAAACUCUUAUCUUUUGCCAUUUUCAUUCGAGGAGCAAAAUCUCGGAGUAGAAAAACAAGAGAACUCACUUCAUCUUUUUCCAGAUUCUCA
rnacentral:lncRNA from 1 species